GAUGAACGCUAGCGGCAGGCUUAAUACAUGCAAGUCGUGGGGCAGCAUGAGUAGCAAUACUUGAUGGCGACCGGCAAACGGGUGAGGAACACGUACACAACCUUCCUUCAAGCGGGGAAUAGCCCAGAGAAAUUUGGAUUAAUACCCCAUAAUAUAUUUGAUAAGGCAUCUUAUUAAUAUUAAAGCUUCGGCACUUGAUGAUGGGUGUGCGGCUGAUUAGAUAGUUGCGGGUAACGGCCCACCAAGUCUACGAUCAGUAGCUGAUGUGAGAGCAUGAUCAGCCACACGGGCACUGAGACA
rnacentral:rRNA from 1 species